CUUAUGCGUUGUUGGGUAGGGGAGCGUUCUGUAAGCCUGUGAAGGUGUGUCGUGAGGCAUGCUGGAGGUAUCAGAAGUGCGAAUGCUGACAUAAGUAACGAUAAAGCGGGUGAAAAGCCCGCUCGCCGGAAGACCAAGGGUUCCUGUCCAACGUUAAUCGGGGCAGGGUGAGUCGACCCCUAAGGCGAGGCCGAAAGGCGUAGUCGAUGGGAAACGGGUUAAUAUUCCCGUACUUGGUGUUACUGCGAAGGGGGGACGGAGAAGGCUAUGUUGGCCGGGCGACGGUUGUCCCGGUUUAAGCGUGUAGGUGUGUGUUCCAGGUAAAUCCGGUUCACUUUAACACUGAGGCGUGACGACGAGGCACUACGGUGCUGAAGCAACAAAUGCCCUGCUUCCAGGAAAAGCCUCUAAGCAUCAGGUAACAUCAAAUCGUACCCCAAACCGACACAGGUGGUCAGGUAGAGAAUACCAAGGCGCUUGAGAGAACUCGGGUGAAGGAACUAGGCAAAAUGGUGCCGUAACUUCGGGAGAAGGCACGCUGACACGUAGGUGAAGUGAUUUACUCAUGGAGCUGAAGUCAGUCGAAGAUACCAGCUGGCUGCAACUGUUUAUUAAAAACACAGCACUGUGCAAACACGAAAGUGGACGUAUACGGUGUGACGCCUGCCCGGUGCCGGAAGGUUAAUUGAUGGGGUCAGCGCAAGCGAAGCUCCUGAUCGAAGCCCCGGUAAACGGCGGCCGUAACUAUAACGGUCCUAAGGUAGCGAAAUUCCUUGUCGGGUAAGUUCCGACCUGCACGAAUGGCGUAAUGAUGGCCAGGCUGUCUCCACCCGAGACUCAGUGAAAUUGAACUCGCUGUGAAGAUGCAGUGUACCCGCGGCAAGACGGAAAGACCCCGUGAACCUUUACUAUAGCUUGACACUGAACAUUGAGCCUUGAUGUGUAGGAUAGGUGGGAGGCUUUGAAGCGUGGACGCCAGUCUGCGUGGAGCCGACCUUGAAAUACCACCCUUUAAUGUUUGAUGUUCUAACGUGGACCCGUAAUCCGGGUUGCGGACAGUGUCUGGUGGGUAGUUUGACUGGGGCGGUCUCCUCCUAAAGAGUAACGGAGGAGCACGAAGGUUGGCUAAUCCUGGUCGGACAUCAGGAGGUUAGUGCAAUGGCAUAAGCCAGCUUGACUGCGAGCGUGACGGCGCGAGCAGGUGCGAAAGCAGGUCAUAGUGAUCCGGUGGUUCUGAAUGGAAGGGCCAUCGCUCAACGGAUAAAAGGUACUCCGGGGAUAACAGGCUGAUACCGCCCAAGAGUUCAUAUCGACGGCGGUGUUUGGCACCUCGAUGUCGGCUCAUCACAUCCUGGGGCUGAAGUAGGUCCCAAGGGUAUGGCUGUUCGCCAUUUAAAGUGGUACGCGAGCUGGGUUUAGAACGUCGUGAGACAGUUCGGUCCCUAUCUGCCGUGGGCGCUGGAGAACUGAGGGGGGCUGCUCCUAGUACGAGAGGACCGGAGUGGACGCAUCACUGGUGUUCGGGUUGUCAUGCCAAUGGCACUGCCCGGUAGCUAAAUGCGGAAGAGAUAAGUGCUGAAAGCAUCUAAGCACGAAACUUGCCCCGA
rnacentral:rRNA from 1 species